GCUUACGGCCACACCUCCCUGAGCACGCCCGAUCUCGUAUGAUCUCGGAAGCUAAGCAGUGUCGGGGCCCGGUUAGUACUUGAUGGGAGACCGCCUGGAAUACCCCGGUGCUGUAAGCC
rnacentral:rRNA from 1 species